GACAGUUUGGCCGAGUGGUUAAGGCGCGGGACUGCUAUACACCGACCGUAGUAAUACGGUUACACGUCUGCGAUCCCGUUCAUUCGUGAGCGCAGGUUCGAAUCCUGCAGCUGUCG
rnacentral:tRNA from 1 species